rnacentral:rRNA from 1 species
UACGAAGGGGGGCUAGCGUUGCUCGGAAUCACUGGGCGUAAAGCGCACGUAGGCGGAUCGCUAAGUCAGGGGUGAAAUCCUGGAGCUCAACUCCAGAACUGCCCUUGAUACUGGCGAUCCUCGAGUCCGGGAGAGGUGAGUGGAACUGCGAGUGUAGAGGUGAAAUUCGUAGAUAUUCGCAAGAACACCAGUGGCGAAGGCGGCUCACUGGCCCCGGUACUGACGCUGAGGUGCGAAAGCGUGGGGAGCAAACAGG